UCUCCGUUGGUGAACCAGCGGAGGGAUCAUUACUGGAAUCGCAAGAUCCCACAACCCUGUGAACCUACCGAAACGUUGCCUCGGCGGGUGCCCGGCCUCUGCGCCGGGCGCUGCGCCCGCCGGCGGCCCCCUACUCUGUCUCUGCAGCGUGGCAUCUCAGAGUCCCAGAAAACAAGUCAAAACUUUCAACAACGGAUCUCUUGGCUCUAGCAUUGAUGAAGAACGCAGC
rnacentral:misc_RNA from 1 species